rnacentral:rRNA from 1 species
UACGAAGGGGGCGAGCGUUGUUCGGAAUUACUGGGCGUAAAGCGCGUGUAGGCGGCCCUGCAAGUCGGGUGUGAAAUCCCACGGCUCAACCGUGGAAGUGCACUCGAAACUGCAGGGCUAGAGUCCUGGAGAGGAAGGUGGAAUGCUUGGUGUAGAGGUGAAAUUCGUAGAUAUCAAGCGGAACACCGGUGGCGAAGGCGGUCUUCUGGACAGUGACUGACGCUGAGACGCGAAAGCGUGGGGAGCAAACAGG